GGCCGCCUGGCGAAAUGGUAUCGCGUCUGACUACGACUCAAUCAGGAGAUUGCAGGUUCGAGCCCUGCGGUGGUCA
rnacentral:tRNA from 1 species